rnacentral:rRNA from 1 species
UAAGGAAUAUUGGUCAAUGGACGCAAGUCUGAACCAGCCAUGCCGCGUGGAGGAUGAAGGUCCUCUGGAUUGUAAACUUCUUUUAUCUGGGACGAAACACUUCUUUUCUAAGAGGCCUGACGGUACCAGAUGAAUAAGCACCGGCUAACUCCGUGCCAGCAGCCGCGGUAAUACGGAGGGUGCAAGCGUUAUCCGGAUUCACUGGGUUUAAAGGGUGCGUAUGUGGGUAUGUAAGUCAGUGGUGAAAUCCCCGAGCUUAACUUGGGAACUGCCAUUGAUACUAUAUAUCUUGAAUACCGUAGAGGUAAGCGGAAUAUGUCAUGUAGCGGUGAAAUGCUUAGAUAUGACAUGGAACACCAAUUGCGAAGGCAGCUUACUACAUAUAAAUUGACGCUGAGGCACGAAAGCGUGGGGAUCAAACA